GACUACAGGAAUCCCUCAGCAUUCCAGAACUGAAUAAAUGUUUACAAUGGACACUCUGCUUCAGAAGGGUUGAGAAGAAAUGUAUUGUGAACCUGGAGUCUAAAGAUUUUGAUGAGUGACCAUGGUGGCAUAGUCUGUCCACACAGGGUUUCAUUUUGGGGCCCAAAGAUGUAAGGUCACAUGUGUUCUGUGAGGUGGCUGCCAUGAUGGCAAAGGACAACAGGAAAGCUGAGAAUAAAUUUUCCACAAUACAGAGAACUGAAAAGCACCUCAUGAUUUGUGGACUGGUGUUAGAUGUGUAUUACCUGAUUAGGGUGAGAAGGUACACAUCAGUCUGGAAAUAAUUACACCUGCUCAUAUAAAUGACUCCUCAACCAACAUUCUGGCAAGAGAACAGGACAAGAAUCUUCCAUCUUCUUAAGUCAACUUUUGGAGAUGAAGCAAGUCAUCUUCCUUGUUUCAGCUGAACCUGGGCUCUUUGCUUCACUGGCCCAUUGGAUGGUAAGCCUCCAAACCAGCAUCCAUUCACACAAGGACCAGCAGAACAGCCUAGACAGGCUCUUCUCAGGACCGUGGCAGAAGUGUGAAAUCUUGUGCAGACGUAGGCAGGCUUCUUCUUUAUAGAUAUGGAACUAAUGCUUCAUAAUCUCUGCUUCAUUCUACUGGAGAAAGUGAGUCAUAUGGCCAAACCCAAAGACAAGGUGUAGGGAAGAAUGCCCCUCCCAAAUGGAUGGAACUAGAAAAAAUCAUCUUGAGUGAGGUAACCCAAACCCAGAAAGACAGUUAUGGUAUGUA